rnacentral:rRNA from 1 species
AACCUGGCGGCGUGCUUACAUAUGCAAGUCGAACGAUGAAGCUGGCGCUUGCGCUGGUGGAUUAGUGGCGAACGGGUGAGUAAUACGUGGGCAACCUGCCCUCCGCUUCGGGAUAAGCCCUGGAAACGGGGUCUAAUACCGGAUGUUGGCCUUCUUCCCGCAUGGGUUGGGGGUGAAAGUUUUUUCGGCGGGGGAUGGGCUCGCGGCCUAUCAGCUUGUUGGUGGGGUGAUGGCCUACCAAGGCGUCGACGGGUAGCCGGCCUGAGAGGGUGGUCGGCCACAUUGGGACUGAGAUACGGCCCAGACUCCUACGGGAGGCAGCAGUGGGGGAUAUUGCGCAAUGGGCGGAAGCCUGACGCAGCGACGCCGCGUGGGGGAUGGAGGCUUUCGGGUUGUAAACCCCUUUCGGCCAGGGACAAGGCCCGUUUGGGUUGAGGGUACUGGCAUAAGAAGCGCCGGCUAACUACGUGCCAGCAGCCGCGGUAAU